rnacentral:rRNA from 1 species
ACCCUUCGGACCUCAUGGUCCGGAGCUGAAAGACGGUUAUGCUGUCACUUACAGAUGGGCCCGCGGCGCAUUAGCUAGUUGGUGAGGUAACGGCUCACCAAGGCGACGAUGCGUAGCCGACCUGAGAGGGUGAUCGGCCACACUGGGACUGAGACACGGCCCAGACUCCUACGGGAGGCAGCAGUAGGGAAUCUUCCGCAAUGGACGAAAGUCUGACGGAGCAACGCCGCGUGAGUGAAGAAGGUUUUCGGAUCGUAAAACUCUGUUGUUAGGGAAGAACAAGUACGAGAGUAAYUGCUCGUACCUUGACGGUACCUAACCAGAAAGCCACGGCUAACUACGUGCCAGCAGCCGCGGUAAUACGUAGGUGGCAAGCGUUGUCCGGAAUUAUUGGGCGUAAAGCGCGCGCAGGCGGUCUUUUAAGUCUGAUGUGAAAGCCCCCGGCUCAACCGGGGAGGGUCAUUGGAAACUGGAGGACUUGAGUGCAGAAGAGGAGAGCGGAAUUCCACGUGUAGCGGUGAAAUGCGUAGAGAUGUGGAGGAACACCAGUGGCGAAGGCGGCUCUCUGGUCUGUAACUGACGCUGAGGCGCG